UACGUAGGCAGCGAGCGUUGUUCGGAAUUACUGGGCGUAAAGAGUGUGUAGGCGGUGCUCCCAGUCUGUUGUGAAAUCUCCCGGCUUAACUGGGAGGGUGCAGCGGAAACUAGAGUGCUAGAGGGUGGGAGAGGUAAGCGGAAUUCCUGGUGUAGCGGUGAAAUGCGUAGAUAUCGGGAGGAACACCAGUGGCGAAGGCGAUCACCUGGGGUUGUUCUGACGCUGAGGAGCGAAAGCUAGGGGAGCAAACGGG
rnacentral:rRNA from 1 species